rnacentral:rRNA from 1 species
GUACACGCUGUGACUAGCAUAUCAAUAAGCGGAGGAAAAGAAACUAACAAGGAUUCCCCUAGUAACGGCGAGUGAAGCGGGAAGAGCUCAAAUUUGAAAUCUUAAAGGGUUUCCCUUUACGAAUUGUAGUUUAAAGAAGUGUUUUCUGUUGAGGUUUUGGUAAAAGUUCUUUGGAAUAGGACAUCAUAGAGGGUGAGAAUCCCGUAUUUGACCUUUACUUUCAACUUUGUGAUACACUUUCAAAGAGUCGGAUUGUUUGGGAAUGCAGUCCAAAAUGGGUGGUAAAUUUCAUCUAAAGCUAAAUAUUGGCGAGAGACCGAUAGCGAACAAGUACCGUGAGGGAAAGAUGAAAAGAACUUUGAAAAGAGAGUUAAACAGUACGUGAAAUUGUCAAAGGGGAAGCGUUUGACACCAGUGUUGUUUUUCUGAAAAUCAAUUAAAGAACUGUUUAUGCUAAGUUGUUUAGACUUUAUCAGCUAUCUGUUUAGUUUUGAGCUUUUCUUUAAUGCACUUUUCAGUUAACAAGUCAACAUCAAUUUCUUUUGCUGUAAAAAAGCUUGAGGAAGGUGGCUUGAGAUUCGUCUUAAGUGUUUAUAGCCUCUUGCCUAUGCAGUCGGAGAGAUUGAGGUCUGCAGCGUAGAUCCUUCGGGGCUAAAUGCAUUUGUGCUAAGUUAUAGCAUUUUAUAGACAACUUGUUGACUAUGAUUUGUCUUGUAGCUUACUCGCUUAUGUUAUUUUACCUACGCUUAGGAUGUUGACUGAUAUGUAGUCGUA